CCUACGGGUGGCAGCAGUGGGGAAUAUUGCGCAAUGGGCGAAAGCCUGACGCAGCGACGCCGCGUGAGGGAUGAAGGUCUUCGGAUCGUAAACCUCUGUCAGCAGGGAAGAACGGUCACUGUGCUAAUCAGCAGUGCAUUGACGGUACCUGCAAAGGAAGCACCGGCUAACUCCGUGCCAGCAGCCGCGGUAAUACGGAGGGUGCGAGCGUUAAUCGGAAUUACUGGGCGUAAAGCGCUCGUAGGCGGUACGUCAAGUCAAGGGUGAAAUCCCCGCGCUCAACGUGGGAACUGACUUUGAAACUGGCAAACUGGAGUGUGUGAGAGGAGAGGAGAAUUCCAGGUGUAGGAGUGAAAUCCGUAGAGAUCUGGAGGAACAUCAGUGGCGAAGGCGACUAUCUGGCACAUAACUGACGCUGAGGAGCGAAAGCGUGGGUAGCAAACAGGAUUAGAUACCCCAGUAGUC
rnacentral:rRNA from 1 species